UAUUGCUGCGUUUGAUUAAAAACCAGUUAUAUUUAUAAUCUUCCUUAAGUGAAAACACAAAACAGGCACGAAAACACAUGUGGAAGAAUAGUGAUUCAAGAAAGAACUAACAGUUGAUAAAUUGUAUGCCUAGCCAAUAUGCACUGACGCGCGUCAAUAUAUAUAUAACCUGAAAAACGAGCACAUCAGCACGCUGCGCUGGCACUUUUUCUGCCCUCGCUUUAUAUUUGCCAUUACAAAACGAAACGUUGGCGCAAAGAGAAACGAAAGAAACCCUAGUGGCAACCCUCAAGCGGUAGCAGUAGCAACAACAACAAAGGAAAAAUAAGAAAAAGAGUAGGAGCGCACAAGGAGUAAAGCGAAAAAUAACACGAAAAACGCACAAAACACAAAAAGAGAGUGGAGGGAAAAAACAACACACACACACACUUCAUGUAUACAGUUGCGUUGGAACUAAUAGCACUUUCAAUUUAAAAUAACCGAAAUAGACAUUUUAAUGAGUCACACUUUUGUGCAUAAGACAUUUCCCUAACGCUUUACCCGCUGCUGUACGAGUACAUAUAUAUGUUUGUGGAUGAAAUUCAUGUGAAGUUGCGGAUGAAGCUUACAAUGUGGUGGAGGCCGAAACACACGAGCAAACGCAGAAAAGCAGGCCCAGGGCAGCAGCAACAACAACUAUGACUAGCAGGCCAAACACAAAAAACACACAGAACAGUGGGGUCACAAGAGCCAUGUGUUUAGGAUUUCAACUGAAAAUGUAUUUAUGCCACAGUACGUGAACCUUGCCAAAGCAGUUUUCCUUCGAUGUCGGGCCGGCCUUUAUUCGAUUAUUCCUAAAUUUGUGGUCCGUAUGAAUUUUGUUGCUGCAAACCACUGUGCCAUGGGUAUGUAUAGUGUGUUAUUCACAAUUUCCAAGUAAUACUCGUUUUUAUAUUUUCUUUUUCCAUUGCUCCGUAUUUCUGCCUGUGCCGCUGCUCUUUUUCUUGCCUGUGCUUUGUACGCACGUUCGUUGGGGGAAUAAAAACAAAUUGAAAUGGU